rnacentral:rRNA from 1 species
GAUGAACGCUGGCGGCGUGCCUAAUACAUGCAAGUCGAGCGAACGGACGAGAAGCUUGCUUCUCUGAUGUUAGCGGCGGACGGGUGAGUAACACGUGGAUAACCUACCUAUAAGACUGGGAUCACUUCGGGAAACCGGAGCUAAUACCGGAUAAUAUUUUGAACCGCAUGGUUCAAAAGUGAAAGACGGUCUUGCUGUCACUUAUAGAUGGAUCCGCGCUGCAUUAGCUAGUUGGUAAGGUAACGGCUUACCAAGGCAACGAUGCAUAGCCGACCUGAGAGGGUGAUCGGCCACACUGGAACGUAGACACGGUCCAGACUCCUACGGGAGGCAGCAGUAGGGAAUCUUCCGCAAUGGGCGAAAGCCUGACGGAGCAACGCCGCGUGAGUGAUGAAGGUCUUCGGAGCGUAAAACUCUGUUAUUAGGGAAGAACAUAUGUGUAAGUAACUGUGCACAGCUUGACGGUACCUAAUCAGAAAGCCACGGCUAACUACGUG